UGGACAAAUUAUUGUAUUCGACUGUAUUCACGGCGUGAAACAUGAGAUUACACUGUUUUUAAACAGAAAGUAAAUCAAUUAACAUAAUAGACUCCU
rnacentral:pre_miRNA from 1 species